rnacentral:miRNA from 1 species
AGCAGCCAUCCUGGUUUGCCAGGGACUGAGGUGGUCCUGGGACAUGAGGCUUUCUGUGCUGAAACUGGGACAG